AUUGAACGCUGGCGGCAGGCCUAACACAUGCAAGUCGAGCGGUAGAGAGGUGCUUGCAUCUCUUGAGAGCGGCGGACGGGUGAGUAAUGCCUAGGAAUCUGCCUAGUGUGGGGGAUAACGUUCGGAAACGGACGCUAAUACCGCAUACGUCCUACGGGNGAAAGCGGGGGAUCUUCGGACCUCGCGCCAUUAGAUGAGCCUAGGUCGGAUUAGCUAGUUGGUGAGGUAAUGGCUCACCAAGGCGACGAUCCGUAACUGGUCUGAGAGGAUGAUCAGUCACACUGGAACUGAGACACGGUCCAGACUCCUACGGGAGGCAGCAGUGGGGAAUAUUGGACAAUGGGCGAAGACCUGAUCCAGCCAUGCCGCGUGUGUGAAGAAGGUCUUCGGAUUGUAAAG
rnacentral:rRNA from 1 species